rnacentral:rRNA from 1 species
GGGAAUAUUGGUCAAUGGGUGAGAGCCUGAACCAGCCAUGCCGCAUGCAGGAAGACGGCCUUCUGGGUUGUAAACUGCUUUUGCCAGGGGAUAAAACGUUCCUGCGGGAAUAAUUGAAGGUACCUGGUGAAUAAGCACCGGCUAACUACGUGCCAGCAGCCGCGGUAAUACGUAGGGUGCAAGCGUUGUCCGGAUUUAUUGGGUUUAAAGGGUGCGUAGGCGGCCUUGUAAGUCAGUAGUGAAAUACCCCAGCUUAACUGGGGGGGUGCUAUUGAUACUGCAGGGCUUGAGUACAGAUGAGGUAGGCGGAAUUGACGGUGUAGCGGUGAAAUGCAUAGAUAUCGUCAAGAACACCGAUAGCGAAGGCAGCUUACUAAGUUGUAACUGACGCUGAGGCACGAAAGUGUGGGGAUCAAA